GGAGGGUACCCAGACAGAAUAUAAUGUGUUGCUCCUCCACGGGGAGAGGAGCUCAUCUUGGCACAAGAGGAGUCCACGGAUCGACACGGCGGAACAGGACUGGGAAUGAAGAAUUAAAAUGCUUGCUGACUGUUGUCCCGUGGGACCAGGCAAGGUUGCCCUUUAAGUCCUCUAUUAUUUGACAUUGCUUUGGAACCUUUAGCCGUUGCCAUUCGUGAAUCACCUAAUAUUUUUGGUAUUACCCGUGGAUACUUGCAAGUUAGAAAUUUCUUGAAUGUGAGUAUUUUCUGCAAUUAUGUCCAAUGGAUAUUAUAGAAAAAAUUCUGGCUCUGAAUCCUUGCCAGAAGGGUUAAGCAGCCAUCAUUUAUCAUAUGAUCAUGAAAAUACAGCCAGGAGUAUCAGAAAUAAUUAAGAAGGAUUGGGAAAAAGAACUUCACUGUCUUAUACCCACAGAGCAGUGGGAGAAAAUUUUACAAUUAGUCAACUCUUCUUCUAUUUGUGCUAAACAUGCCUAAUACAAUUUCAGGUUGUUCAUAGGGCUCACAUGUCCAAGGAUAAACUUGCUCGAUUUUAUUCUUAUGUUAAUCCAACCAGUGACAGAUGUCAGUCUGAAGUCACUUCAUUGACCCACAUGUUCUGGUCUUGCCACUAUUUUCAAAAUUACUGGAAAGAUAUUUUUGCUAUUAUUUCAA